rnacentral:rRNA from 1 species
GAUGAACGCUGGCGGCGUGCUUAACACAUGCAAGUCGAACGGAGUGGCGAACGGGUGAGUAACACGUGGGUGAUCUGCCCUGUACUUCGGGAUAAGCUUGGGAAACUGGGUCUAAUACCGGCUAGUAUGGGAUGAGCUCGCGGCCUAUCAGCUUGUUGGUGGGGUAAUGGCCUACCAAGGCGUCGACGGGUAGCCGGCCUGCGAGGGUGUACGGCCACACUGGGACUGAGAGACGGCCCAGACUCCGACGGGAGGCAGCAGUGGGGAAUAUUGCAAGAAGGGCGCAAGCCUGAUGCAGCGACGCCGCGUGGGGGAUGAAGGCCUUCGGGUUGUAAACUCCUGUCGCGAGGGACGCGGUACCUGGAGAAGAAGCGCCGGCUAACUACGUGCCAGCAGCCGCGGUAAUAC